GAUGAACGCUGGCGGCGUGCCUUAGGCAUGCAAGUCAAGGGGGCCCGCACGGGCAACCGGCGGAAGGGUGAGUAACGCGUGGGAACGUACCAUAUGGUGGGGGAUAGCUUUCCGAAAGGAGGGGUAAUCCCGCAUAAGCCCGUAAGGGGAAAGAUUUAUCGCCAUUUGACCGGCCCGCUUCCUAUCAGUUGGUUGGUAAGGUAAUGGCUCACCAAGACCUUGACGGGUAGCUGGUCUGAGAAGUCGGCCAGCCACAAUGGAACUGAGACACGGUCCAUACUUCUACGGAUGGCAGCAACCGGGAAUCUUGGACAAUGGGGGAAACCCUGAUCCAGCAAUGCCGCGUGAGUGAUGAAGGCCUUAGGGUUGUAAAGCUCUUUUACCAGGGAUGAUAAUGACAGUACCUGGAGAAUAAGCUCCGGCUAACUCCGUGCCAGCCGCCGCUGUAA
rnacentral:rRNA from 1 species